rnacentral:rRNA from 1 species
GACGAACGCUGGCGGCGUGCUUAACACAUGCAAGUCGAGCGGUAAGGCCCUUUCGGGGGUACACGAGCGGCGAACGGGUGAGUAACACGUGGGUGACCUGCCCUCAGCUCUGGGAUAAGCCUGGGAAACCGGGUCUAAUACUGGAUAUGACUCCAUGACGCAUGUUGUGGGGUGGAAAGCCUUGUGCGGCUGAGGAUGGGCCCGCGGCCUAUCAGCUUGUGGUGGGGUGAGGCCUACCAAGGCGACGACGGGUAGCCGGCCUGAGAGGGCGACCGGCCGCACUGGGACUGAGACACGGCCCAGACUCCUACGGGAGGCAGCAGUGGGGAAUCUUGCGCAAUGGGCGAAAGCCUGACGCAGCGACGCCGCGUGAGGGAUGACGGCC